UUUAAUGAGAGUUUGAUCCUGGCUCAGGACGAACGCUGGCGGCGUGCCUAAUACAUGCAAGUAGAACGCUGAAGGAGGAGCUUGCUUCUCUGGAUGAGUUGCGAACGGGUGAGUAACGCGUAGGUAACCUGCCUGGUAGCGGGGGAUAACUAUUGGAAACGAUAGCUAAUACCGCAUAAGAGUGGAUGUUGCAUGACAUUUGCUUAAAAGGUGCACUUGCAUCACUACCAGAUGGACCUGCGUUGUAUUAGCUAGUUGGUGGGGUAAGGGCUCACCAAGGCGACGAUACAUAGCCGACCUGAGAGGGUGAUCGGCCACACUGGGACUGAGACACGGCCCAGACUCCUACGGGAGGCAGCAGUAGGGAAUCUUCGGCAAUGGACGGAAGUCUGACCGAGCAACGCCGCGUGAGUGAAGAAGGUUUUCGGAUCGUAAAGCUCUGUUGUAAGAGAAGAACGAGUGUGAGAGUGGAAAGUUCACACUGUGACGGUAUCUUACCAGAAAGGGACGGCUAACUACGUGCCAGCAGCCGCGGUAAUACGUAG
rnacentral:rRNA from 1 species